UAGUCCACGCCGUAAACGAUGAUCACUCGUUGUUGGCAAUACACCGUCAGCGACUGAACGAAAGUAUUAAGUGAUCCACCUGGGAAGUACGAUCGCAAGGUUGAAACUCAAAGGAAUUGACGGGGGGCCCGCACAAGCGGUGGAGCAUGUGGUUUAAUUCGAUGAUACGCGAGGAACCUUACCAGGGCUUAAAUGUAAGUUGCAUUAGUUAGAGAUAGCUAUUUCUUCGGACUACUUACAAGGUGCUGCAUGGUUGUCGUCAGCUCGUGCCGUGAGGUGUCAGGUUAAGUCCUAUAACGAGCGCAACCCCUGUUGUUAGUUGCCAGCGAUUCAAGUCGGGAACUCUAACAAGACUGCCGGUGCAAACCGUGAGGAAGGUGGGGAUGACGUCAAAUCAUCACGGCCCUUACGUCCUGGGCUACACACGUGCUACAAUGGUAGGUACAGAGAGCAGCCACUGCGCGAGCAGGAGCGAAUCUAUAAAACCUAUCACAGUUCGG
rnacentral:rRNA from 1 species